GGUACAAACUUGCUUUUGAUAGUAAGAAUUAGAAAUUACAUCUUCUAUUGAGAAUUUUUCUUGAAAUAUGGCUCCAUUAGGUUUUGAUUCUGUUUUAUAUCUCUGUGACUACAACUACUAUCAGACAUUUCUAUAGCAAAUCAUCAGGUGGGAAUGAUUCUCAUUCUUUUCCAAAGCAAAUGGAAACAAUAUCAGUUGUUACCUUAAUGUAGGCCAUAAUGAACUUGCUAUACAGGUGACAGAGUUGUGGUCCUUUUGAAUUCCUGAAACUGAACAAUAAUAUGAUUUCGACCUGGGUUUGCCUGUAACUUCUGAAGAUAUGUUGGUUUCCUACACUUUUAUGUGUACUAAACACAAUAUUUCUUUAAAAGUAUGCUAGAGUUCUUAGUACAGCUAAACAUGACUAUCAAGUUAGUGCAGGAAGUGAGAAGGUUGAUGCAAGAAAAUGAAAGAUUUCUGAGAAAAACAAAAUGAAUGCUCUUACUGAAAUGACAUCACCAGAGGGUCAAGUUUUGAAAGAUCCAUCUCUCCACAUGACAGUUAAUGAAGGAAGACAGUCUUUGGAAAUUGAAAGGCAAAGAUAAAAAUAUUUUUAGUUUAUUGCCGAGAAUAUGGAAGUCUCACAGAAAGUACUUCUUCAGGUCAUUCUUAUUUUGGAUGUGAAACAUUUUGGAUAAAACAUACAAAUGUGAUUUUCAAAAAAAGCAUUUGGAAAAAAAAAAACCCUGUAAUUUUUUUUUACACUAAUAGGAAAAAUUAUUCCAAAUAAAUCAUCAAUAGAGAAAAUGCAAGUUCUUACUUAUAGAAAUAAUGUUGAAACUGUUUAACCACAAGCUAUAGAAAUAAACAUCCGUUUGUGCUCAAGUCAGUUUAUCUGGUCCUCCAUCUUGACUACGUCACUUCAGAAACCUCUGUCCACAGCUUGAACUACUCCCCAAUUCAUCAUUCAUCCCAGGUCUCUCUUGACUGCUGUUGGUAGUAGAGCCUUGGUUAGAGCAAACUGCUCUUACUGCCUGCCCUGAUGUGGGUCACCAAGUGACCAGGGUGCCUUGGGUCUUCCACCAGAAGCAAAUCAUAGGAGGAAAAGAACAAGUACAAUUGCUCAAAUUCUGAUCUGGCCAGGUGGGCAGAAGAUACAUGAGGAAAAUGGACGCAGACACUUUCUGAGGGGAAAGUCUGAUCAGUGCUGAUGCCUCAGGUUUCAUACUGUCUAAUCAAAGGGUUUGUGGUCUUCUAAGCAUUUUGUGGUGAAACAUGGAUUCAAUCAAUGCAACCAACCCAUCAAACGCAUACUGCAUCUCAAGCGCACACUGCAGGAUGAUUCUGAUAAUCAUCUACGGCAUGGUUUUGCUUGGAGGUACUAUUGGAACAGUAUUGAUGUCACGUUUGAUGUUCAAAAGGAAGAGCCGAUCAAUGAUGGCCACUAUUGUUCUUAAUAUCAUAGUGCUGCACUCAAUCCUCUUAGUCAGCCUUCCGUUCCGCCUCAGCUAUUAUGUAUUACAUGUCUGGAAGCUUGGAUCCUUUACCUGCCGGUUGGUUAGCAGCAUAGUGUACUGUCAUAUGUACUUGACCUUUGUUUUCUAUGUGGCCAUUGUCAUAAUCCGAUUGCUCAUCUAUUUUAACAAACUCCAAAUGCAAGAGUUACAAAAGUACCAUGCGGUAGUUUUAAGCAUUUUCAUUUGGAUGGUGGGUAGCCUAAUUUUUCUGCCAAUAUUUUUUUUAUUAUAUGGCAUAGAUCCAAGUUACUCAGGAUAUCGAUGUUUUGAGUUCUACAAAGAUUUCAACCGCAGGAAAGUCAUUAUUGUGAAUUAUUCUAUGAUUGUCAUUAUGAUUACAGUGGUCAUGACCCUCUUUCUGAUACAGGUGGGUGUCAUCGUUCAACUGAUCAAGGCUCUUUCUCCUUGUGUGUGGACCCAUCAAGAGUUUAGAGCUCAAAUCAAGAGCUUCUUUUUCCUUAUAGUAAUAGUUGUCUGUUUUGUACCCCACCAUGCAUUCCGGAUACACUUUAUUCAAAAUUAUUCAGGGACAGAAAAUUCAGAGCUAGUUCUUUAUAAUGAAGUUUUUAUUGCUUUAACUACUCUCUGUUGCCUGGAUAUGCUGUGUUUCAUAGGUGGAGUUAUUCAUUAAACAAUGUUAUGUCACUUGCUUUGUAAUCAGUUUUCCAUCACUGUAACAAAAUAGUUUCAAUUAAAUGGAUUCUUCUAUGAUUU